UCGCCCAUGAUCAGGGGCGUCUCCAGGGACUUGUUCAGGCGAUCGUAGGCCGCAUAGAACCGCUUGCAGUG
rnacentral:snoRNA from 2 species